GAACGAGAAAUGAAUUACAGUCCCUUUCCUUUCUUCUUCUUCUUUAGCUCUCAAUCUCGCACUGAUUCCGUACACUGCAGAUUUACAAUAUUAACAUCCGCUCUGGAGAAAGAAAUCAUUUGAAUUUUUUAGUUUUGACCAUUUUCUGUAUUUGGGUUCCUAAAAAAAAUUUUUAAAGAUGAUUCAGUUAUUGUUCCUGGUGAUAUUCUCAGAGAUGGCGGUGAUCAUGGUACUAACAUUCAAGACGCCGUUAAGGAAGCUGGUGAUAAUGGGUCUGGAUCGGGUCAAGCGGGGACGAGGUCCAGUGAUGGUGAAGACGGUGGCGGGAACGGUAUCCGUGGUAAUGAUGUCGAGCGUGUACAGCAUGAUGAAGAUCCAGAAGCGUUGGAUCGAUGAUGAAGCGGCUAAUCCAACGGACCAGGUUCUCAUGGCCAAACACCUUCUUGAGGCUACUCUCAUGGGGGGAUCACUUUUCCUAGCACUAAUGAUAGAUAGAUUACACCAUUAUAUCAGAGAACUCCGGAUCAGAAGGAAGACCGUGGAGGCUGUCAAGAAACAAGGUCGAGGAUUUGAUGAAGUAAAACCUGGUGGCUCAGACGAAGUUAAAGCCUUGGAGGAAGAAGUAACCACUCUGCGGGGAAAAUUUAAGCAGCUGGAGUCUGAUCUUGAGACAAAGACAAAAGAGAUGAAAGCUGCAGAAGCUAAUACAGUUGCUUUAAAGAAACAAUCUGAAGGUUUUCUUCUUGAGUAUGAUCGACUGCUUGAGGAGAACCAAAACCUUCGGAAUCAGUUGCAAUCUUUGGACCAGUGGUUGUCACGUUCAGAUAGUAAGAAGAAUACCUAAGAAACUGAGCACCUCUGGCAAAAUGUUUUUCAGUUCCAUUAUUGUUAGCCAUUCAGGAGUUUUCUAAUGGAUUUGUUGGUUGCAGUUUAGUUGUAAUUCGUGAAUCAUUUUAAGUGGGGACAGAAAAAAGAUCCAAAGAAAGCAAGAAGUUGUAAGCAGCAUUAAGCCAAGAAGGACCAGAACUGACAGUACUGAUAGCACAAGCAUUAAUGCAGUUGCUCUACGAACUUUCACCGCUUGUGCGUAUUCAGCUGCAGCCAGCGCAAGGAAGGUUAAUGGGAAAGAGUAAGCCCCACCUUGUAACAUUGAAUUUCUUCAUAGAUUGCUUGAAAAGAGAAGGCCUGCAACCCUGUAAAAAAGCAAUCACUGUUAAAUGUUUUAACUUCAUCCCGACCAUAACCAAAGAUGGGCUGUUUGGUUUGAUUGCUAUAUAUGUUAGUAUUUCGAACCGUCAAAAUGAAUCCACUGCAGCUAAGCAUUAAGACCAAUAUCAGACCGUUCAAUUUGCAAACAGGAGGAAACUUUAAGAUAAAAUUUCUUUAGGGUAG